rnacentral:rRNA from 1 species
CGUGUAGGCGGAUAUAUAAGUCAGAAGCGAAAUCCAAUAGCUUAACUAUUGAACUGCUUUUGAAACUGUAUAUCUAGAAUGUGGGAGAGGUAGAUGGAAUUUCUGGUGUAGGGGUAAAAUCCGUAGAGAUCAGAAGGAAUACCGAUUGCGAAGGCGAUCUACUGGAACAUUAUUGACGCUGAGACGCGAAAGCGUGGGAGCAAACA